AGAGUUUGAUCCUGGCUCAGGAUGAACGCUGGGCGGCGUGCUUAACACAUGCAAGUCGAACGAUGAUGCCAGCUUGCUGGUGGAUUAGUGGCGAACGGGUGAGUAACACGUGAGUAACCUGCCCUUAACUCUGGGAUAAGCCUGGGAAACUGGGUCUAAUACCGGAUAUGACUCCUCAUCGCAUGGUGGGGGGUGGAAAGCUUUUUUGUGGUUUUGGAUGGACUCGCGGCCUAUCAGCUUGUUGGUGAGGUAAUGGCUCACCAAGGCGACGACGGGUAGCCGGCCUGAGAGGGUGACCGGCCACACUGGGACUGAGACACGGCCCAGACUCCUACGGGAGGCAGCAGUGGGGAAUAUUGCACAAUGGGCGCAAGCCUGAUGCAGCGACGCCGCGUGAGGGAUGACGGCCUUCGGGUUGUAAACCUCUUUCAGUAGGGAAGAAGCGAAAGUGACGGUACCUGCAGAAGAAGCGCCGGCUAACUACGUGCCAGCAGCCGCGGUAAUACGUAGGGCGCAAGCGUUAUCCGGAAUUAUUGGGCGUAAAGAGCUCGUAGGCGGUUUGUCGCGUCUGCCGUGAAAGUCCGGGGCUCAACUCCGGAUCUGCGGUGGGUACGGGCAGACUAGAGUGAUGUAGGGGAGACUGGAAUUCCUGGUGUAGCGGUGAAAUGCGCAGAUAUCAGGAGGAACACCGAUGGCGAAGGCAGGUCUCUGGGCAUUAACUGACGCUGAGGAGCGAAAGCAUGGGGAGCGAACAGGAUUAGAUACCCUGGUAGUCCAUGCCGUAAACGUUGGGCACUAGGUGUGGGGGACAUUCCACGUUUUCCGCGCCGUAGCUAACGCAUUAAGUGCCCCGCCUGGGGAGUACGGCCGCAAGGCUAAAACUCAAAGGAAUUGACGG
rnacentral:rRNA from 1 species